rnacentral:lncRNA from 1 species
GUCUUUCUUUUGAAAAUGUUUGGGAAGAUCCCCAACGUUUGUUCAAACUGCCGACUUUGUUUACAGUUUUAAACUGUCUUAAUAUCGUUAUAAAAACAUAGUUAGGUAAUUAUAAAAACAUAGUUAGAUAAAUUUAUUGCAAGAUAUAACUUUUAGCGACUUUAACUGCCUUUCACUUCAAAUACUGUAAACACGGUUUCAAAUAAACGUUUUAAAUUACCUUGAUUUGAAAGAAAUUACCAAUUUUACUUUCGCGCUAUGGAUUGUGCGGGGCGCGGAACGUCACAGUAUAUAUUUGCAAAUAUGUAUAUAUAUGUUUGUAUACUCUCUUUAUAUCAUGGUCUUGUAAAGUUUCACAGUAAAAUUACAAUAUCAAUUUGUUUAUGUUGCGGAAUAAAUAAAGGUAGCACCCAUAUAUAGAUGUAUGUAUAGAUUCUUAUGGGAUCAGAAGAUUGAACUGCCAAGAUUGUUUCAAAUGUAUUCAAACAAUAGUUAAUAAUAUCCAUAUUGCUCAUAUAUCACUGUUACAUUUCAUAAAUUAAAUUGGUACUCAAAGUCUUUGGAUCUCCAGAACCUUGUGCAUGGAUUUCGUGUUAUUCAACUAAAACUAUUCUCCUGUAAGGUACAUCGUUAUAAAUCUUCUCUUAUGUUGGUAUGGUGAGUCUUUAUUUUCUUUAUUACGAAAUGUAUGCAAUCAUGCGUUCUCCUUUUUAUUAUGACGGAUUUAAAUGAUGUACUGCAUGCCUUUACCAAUAAAUGUUUAUAAAUAUAAUUAAAAAUGUAAUUAAAAACAUCGGACCAGCGGAGUGAGAUCUCUAUUUAUAACGCGCUGCCUGCGUAUAGAAAAGAGUAAAAAUUACUGUGGCUUUGUCGCAGUUGGCGGUCAAACUCAGAUUUGAGAUUGUUUGUGUCGUGCAUCCCAAUUGUUAACGCCAAUCGUCGCAAUCUUGGGUUCGCAGGUUGAUCGCGCCAUUUCGUUUAGCGAAUGUUUUCCUUUUUUUCUUUGGAUAACUAAUUAGUUACCUGAUUUUAUUUAUUUGUUUGUUUUUUGGAAUUCAUUGGUAUAUAGUUUACAUAAAUAUAACGUAUUCUUUAAAAACGUUUCUUUGUCCAACAAACUCUCGAUUCCAA